UAUAAAUUGUCAGUUUCAGCAUUAUGUAGAAAAUGAAUUUAUAAUGUAGCGCCCGUUGUAUGCUAAUUAGGGUUUUAUAGUCAUGGGGCCGGUCCAGCUACAGUAUCCUGAAGAGUUAAGCAGUCUGGUCUUCAAACCCUCCCUUCCAAGUCUCAGACUGUUGUCUUGUACCCUGCCAGUGCGCAGGGCAGCAAAGUGUAUUCUGCCCAACUUUUAUUGCUGCAUGGUGCAUCCAAGAGACGUAUGCAUUGGAGAACUACUUGAAAAAAUGUAUGAGUAGAAGUCCUUGAAAUGUAUGGAAAAUCUUUUAAUGUUCUAUUCUGCUACUUCUGACUUUUUUGGCCUCCUACAGUGAUAGAUACUGAUUAUCCUAUUGCAGUACCAUAAGGCAUAGUAUCCCUGAAUAAAGCUAAGGGGUAAUCAGGGACAGACUGU